UCUAAGUAUAACCUGCCAGACAGGGAAACUGCGUACGGCUCAUUACACCAGCCUUAAUUUACUUGACCUUGACAACCUACUUGGAUAACUGUGGUAAUUCUAGAGCUAAUACAUGCACCAAAGCUCCGAUCCUCGCGGAGAGGAGCGCAUUUGUUCGCCACAAAACCAAGCGCCCAUCUGGGCGUCCAGUGCUGAACCAGAACAACUCAGCUGAUCGCACGGUCUUGUACCGGCGACGUGUCUUUCAAGUGUCUGCCUUAUCAACUUUCGAUGGUAGUGUACCUGACUACCAUGGUUGUGACGGGUAACGGAGGAUAAGGGUUCGACUCCGGAGAAGGGGCCUGAGAAAUGGCCACUACGUCUAAGGAUGGCAGCAGGCGCGCAAAUUACCCACUCUCAACGCGAGGAGGUAGUGACGAGAAAUAACGAGACCGUUCUCAUACGAGGCCGGUUAUUGGAAUGGGUACAAUUUAAA
rnacentral:rRNA from 1 species